rnacentral:rRNA from 1 species
UGGGGAAUUGUUCACAAUGGGCGCAAGCCUGAUGACGCAACGCCGCGUGGGGGAUGAAGGUCUUCGGAUUGUAAACCCCUGUCGAAUGGGACGAAAGACCCGGGAGCUAAUCAUCCUGGGAGUGACGGUACCGUUAAAGGAAGCCACGGCUAACUCUGUGCCAGCAGCCGCGGUAAUACAGAGGUGGCAAGCGUUGUUCGGAAUUACUGGGCGUAAAGGGCGCGUAGGCGGCCAUCUAAGUCAGACGUGAAAUCCCCCGGCUCAACUUGGGAACUGCGUCUGAUACUGGCUGGCUUGAAUUCGGGAGAGGGAUGCAGAAUUCCAGGUGUAGCGGUGAAAUGCGUAGAUAUCUGGAGGAAUACCGGUGGCGAAGGCGGCAUCCUGGACCGAGAUUGACACUGAGGAGCGAAAGCUAGGGGAGCAAA